rnacentral:ncRNA from 1 species
GGGGUGUGCCUCGCUAAACCUUUGUUUCUCAUAUUUUUGCUUCCAAAAUUACAAAAGUUAUUUGCAAUGCCAGAGGGGCGUGCCUUUGGGAAUGCGGACGAUACAAGUGGUGCAUAUGGUUGUCGUUAGCUCGUGCCAUAAGGUGUUGCUCUAAAUCCCAAAAUGAGUGCAACCCUCAUGUCCCCGUUAAGUUUGGAAUCCUAAACGCUUCGGGGGACAUGCUAGAGGAAGGUGAGGAUGAGGUCAAGGCUUCAUGCCUCUUACCUCCUGGGCAGCACACAUGCUGCAAAGGCUAAGACAAAGGGUCAUGAUCACACGAGUAUAAGCCAAAUCCAAAAACUCAUUCUUAGUUCAGAUUGCAUGCUGAAUCUCAAUUCAUGAAAUC